GUUUAGAUUCUGCCAGUGAAAGGCACUCAUGUGAGAGAUGGAAGGUGGACAAGAAGGACAUGUAUGGAAGAGUCCAACUGGCCCAUCUCAUGGAAGCUCCUAUAUACCACGAGAUAUACCCACUUAGCACGGAAGGAGAGCAGAUCUAGUUAAAAUGAGACAAGAGAAUGGUUUGUCUUCCCUGGCUUGCGUGCCCCUCGACCUCUGGAAGACAUUUGCCACCUGGGAGAAGAUGCCCACAGUGGGGGCAACCUCUGAAGUUCAUGCUUCACACUGGUCCCUUUGUCACCCUUAGUAAUUUACAGCAGUUCUCUUGGUACAGUAAGUGUCUAAAUGGGAGGGCAAAGCCUUUACCAAGUCUCCUCAU